rnacentral:lncRNA from 1 species
AGGCGCCGCCGUUGACCCUGCUGUUACCAGGCGCGCGCACAGCCAAUCAGCACCCCGCGCCGGCGCCGGCCGGCCUUUGAACUCGGCACGGCAACUUCCUGCUGUUUGGCGAGUACACAGUGCAAUGCAGUAUGUCUGUCAGCGCUGCGGCACAAAGGAACAGCCAUUUUGUGACUGAGCUGGACCUGCAUCAAGAUGCCAGGGGCUCAAAGAGCUGCUGACACAAGAGCUCCGCAGAAUGAAGACAAAUAUAUUCUAAAAUACACAAAGG